GGUUUUGAGUAAUCGCGGUUUGCUGUUGCAAAUUGAGGAAAGUCCACGCCGGCAUAAGCUGCAAUGCUUAUAGUGAUCGUGUUCAGCCCAAUAAGCUGGAGCAUCUUUUCAGAUGACGGCGACUAAAGCGCUAAGGUUCUUUAUGGGACUAAGUGUGAGUAGUCAUAAAGUGCCACAGAGACGCAUACUUUUGGAAACAAAAGUUUGGAACGGGUAAACCCCGCGAGCAGGAAACCCAAACUUUGGUAGGGGAGUUUCGAUAACGAGGAAUUAAACUCAAAUCGAAGACACUUUUGUGUAGAUAGAUGAUUACUGAAGGUUGAACAUAGGCCAUUCAACUGGAACAAAACGUGGCUUAUAGAA
rnacentral:RNase_P_RNA from 1 species